GAUGAACGCUAGCUACAGGCUUAACACAUGCAAGUCGAGGGGUAACGAGAGGAAAGCUUGCUUUCCUUGUCGACGACCGGCGCACGGGUGAGUAACGCGUAUCCAACCUGCCCCCAACUAGGGAAUAACCUUGCGAAAGUAAGACUAAUACCCUAAAUUUCCUCAGAUGCCAUCUGACGAGGAAUAAAGAUUUAUCGGUUGUGGAUGGGGAUGCGUCUGAUUAGCUUGUUGACGGGGUAACGGCCCACCAAGGCAACGAUCAGUAGGGGUUCUGAGAGGAAGGUCCCCCACAUUGGAACUGAGACACGGUCCAAACUCCUACGGGAGGCAGCAGUUAGGAAUAUUGGUCAAUGGGCGGAAGCCUGAACCAGCCAAGUAGCGUGCAGGAUGACGGCCCUAUGGGUUGUAAACUGCUUUUAUACAGGAAUAAAGUUAGCCACGUGUGGUUAUUUGUAGGUACUGUAUGAAUAAGGACCGGCUAAUUCCGUGCCAGCAGCCGCCGUAA
rnacentral:rRNA from 1 species